AACGAACGCUGGCGGCAUGCCUAACACAUGCGAGUCGAACGAGAUCUUCGGGUCUAGUGGCGCACGGGUGCGUAACGCGUGGGAAUCUGCCCUUUGGUUCGGAAUAACAGUUGGAAGCGACUGCUAAUACCGGAUGAUGACGAAAGUCCAAAGAUUUAUCGCCAGAGGAUGAGCCCGCGUAGGAUUAGCUAGUUGGUGUGGUAAAGGCGCACCAAGGCGACGAUCCUUAGCUGGUCUGAGAGGAUGAUCAGCCACACUGGGACUGAGACACGGCCCAGACUCCUCCGGGAGGCAGCAGUGGGGAAUAUUGGACAAUGGGCGAAAGCCUGAUCCAGCAAUGCCGCGUGAGUGAUGAAGGCCUUAGGGUUGUAAAGCUCUUUUACCCGGGAUGAUAAUGACAGUACCGGGAGAAUAAGCUCCGGCUAACUCCGUGCCAGCCGCCGCAGUAA
rnacentral:rRNA from 1 species